rnacentral:rRNA from 1 species
GUUUGACCUCGGAUCAGGUAGGGUUACCCGCUGAACUUAAGCAUAUCAA